rnacentral:piRNA from 1 species
UUUCUUGAUACGACAAAUUGA